rnacentral:rRNA from 1 species
UACGGGGGGGGCAAGCGUUAAUCGGAAUUACUGGGCGUAAAGCGUGCGCAGGCGGUCUUGCAAGACAGAUGUGAAAUCCCCGGGCUCAACCUGGGAACUGCAUUUGUGACUGCAAGGCUGGAGUGCGGCAGAGGGGGAUGGAAUUCCGCGUGUAGCAGUGAAAUGCGUAGAGAUGUGGAGGAAUACCGAUGGCGAAGGCAGCCCCCUGGGUCGACACUGACGCUCAUGCACGAAAGCGUGGGGAGCAAAC